CCAGCAUCUUGUUGGCUUUCGACGAAAUCUCCUGCACUUGCUUGUUCAAUUUGAGGUAUGUCACCAGUUAUAAACAUGCCAAGAUCUUUCUGACUGUCAGGUCGGUUAACUGGGGUACCGAGCACCGUAUACUGUGUGAUGGUUCACGAGAUUUUGUAAGAUGCAGCACACCACAUGUAGUUUGGUUUAACUCCAUUUUUCAGUCGUGAGUCCCACGACACCAGUUGGUAAUGUUGUCCAAGUCAGAUUGAAGGGUUUUCUUGUCUUAAGAAUUUUUAAUAGGACGGUGGCAUUUGGUAUCGUCAGCAAAAAUUGGUAGUAUCGUGUGAGACAUAUUUCGGGAGAUCAUUGAUGUAAAUUAUAAAUAGAAGUGGCCCAAGAAUGAUCCCUGGGAAACACCUGAUAGAACUGGAAGUGGUUCUGAUGUAACACCAAGCGCAGUGACUCUUUGGGAUCGCCCAGAAAGGACGUCUCUGAACCAACGAAGAAGAUUU